UAUCAUAUAUGCAACACCCUGUAUAUUUGGUUUAGAUUACAAAGGUAGUGAUUUCAAACAACAGGAGGGGUGACGAGACAUUUUGUAUGCAGGUAUUGCAUUUUUAGGUUUCCUGCAUCCUCAGGGGUAGCACCUUGGGGGUGUCCGAUGUAAAUUUAUAGACUGGGGUGGGGGCACCAGGUGCUGAUUAGAAAUAUCAAUGUUUAACCCCGGGGGUCGGUCUAGACAUACUGUAUUCUUUCUGGGGUGUUUGACAUUUUAGCCCCCACAUCCUCUGGGUGAGAUAAAUUCGGAUUUGAAAGACCUGUGUUAAUUAACGAAAGUGCCCAUUUUAAGAGACGCUGUCACACUUUUUGAUGGGUGGUAGGCAGAUAUCUGGACAUACUGUAUGCAUGAUAGUGCAAACCUUGGUUUCAAACGAUCCCCUACUUUUGUUUUUGAAACACACACUCCUCCUGGCCCGGCACACGCACAUGGCUUUUCCGUAAGUCUUUUUCUUCGUGACAGACUGGGGUGAGAGCGAAAACGAGAGCUUCCCGUUCAUUAAGGGAUAAAGGGGCUGGUUAGCCCUGAACAUUAUCCGUUUCCGAUUCCCCCUACGCCAUGACAUUCUUGCACACUCCAUCAAAGCUCUGUAAAUUUUCACUCCAUGGGUAGAUAAUCCGUCCGGCAUGUAAAUCCUGGGUAGAGUGACGAGGAGGCACACAAAGGACUCAGUCACAGCAGCCAUCUUCCUCCUCCCUUACUGCUUCAAUAAGAUCCCAAAGGCCUCAACAUUAUGGAAAAGGU